AAAUCUAAAAAUACCUAACCGCAGGUUUUUUUUAAACAUGGUUUUGGGGUAGUGUGGUUUUUUUGUUGUUUUUGUAUGAUUUUCAAAUGGAGAGUUACCCACAAAUGUCAAUUAAAUCAUGGUAGAUCAUAGUUAAACACUGAGGUGGGAAUUAAAGAUGAUAACUUCCAUUAUCUUGCUGUUACUGAAAUAACAUAUGGGUUUCCUGGUCUCGUACAGUAACGUAUUACCUGAUACCCAGAAAAAGGCAAGAUACAGUGAGAAUUCGUCAGAGGUGUUAGUAACUUUUGGAUUAAAGAAAAUGUUUGGUGUGAAGGAGUUCGUCUUUUUGUUCUCUGAUGUUUGGCUAUUUAAUUCAUUUUUCUAUUUUGUAAUUAGGAGUUUGUUGUGUAUAAUUUUAUCCUUUUUAUUUGUUUUGUAAAUAAGGAAAUUCUUGGGACUUUUAAAAUUUAACUUACGGAACU
rnacentral:lncRNA from 1 species